rnacentral:lncRNA from 1 species
UCUGUAGCCAAACAGGGCAGUAGAACACUGCGGCGAGGCCCAUCAUGAACUGCAGUACGAGGAGCAUCCUGAAAUUAAGCUACAACCUGGGCAGGGCCAGUCACAUACUUCCCAGGAAUGGGCUGCGAAGACAGUCAACAGCGCCAUCUGCUGCAGAGGAUGAGAAAAAGCUGCAGUUUCUGAGUGUGAUGCGGGAAGUGCCUGCUCCAGUGGUGGUGGUGACGGCGGCCGCCCCGGGCCCGG